CUGCAGUGUGGGGAACGGCUGGGGUUGGCCGAAGAGCGCACAGUGGAGUUUUAAUGUCUGCCGCGUUGGCCACGGCAUAUUGAGGAGAGCGAGCGAGAGAGGAGCGGAGCGUCUCUGCCUCCCACCUCCAGGCGGCUCUGAGCGCCCGGACGGCGACCUCCGCGCUCCGCCCCUCCAGUACCCGCAGCGGUGGGCGAGUGGGGACCGAACCCCCGGUUCUCCACGAUCCCGCUGGCCGGGGCCGUUUCCCCAGAGCGGAGAGGCGUCUGCCCCGCCUGAGAUGAGUAAACUGUCGUUUCGGGCGCGGGCGCUAGACGCCUCGAAGCCGCUGCCCGUUUUCCGCUGUGAGGAUCUGCCCGACCUGCACGAAUACGCCUGGAUAAGCCGGGCCGCGCCGCAGAUGCCCACCGGAAUGGAGAAGGAGGAGGGGUCACCUACCUGAGAAAUGGAACUUUCUGGCACUGCUCUGUGGAAUAUCAUCUGAUUCUGGGCAAUCAUUUUGAGACAGCUGACUGGGGUCAGAAGAGCAGUCUGUGACUGUGAAACUGAGCAGGUUUCAUUGGAACAAAGUGAUAGAAGGAUGGAGACGGAUCCAACUCAAACUUUACGUUUCCUGUAUAUCAUGGAGUCCAACCACCCACAAGUCACAAUCUCUCAGAAGACAGCAGAGAUGAGAUCACUCUCCAGGAGACACUUAAGCCACUCACAUAAUCACCUGCUGGUACAUUUUGGCUUGCUAAGCCUAAUUAGUUUGUGAAGAGUGCUAAUGAGGAUGGGCAUUUGCUUGUGUGGACAGGCUAAGGAUGGAUGGUCUAGCAUCCUUAAGUGGUCAAAGGAUAAGAUGGUGAUGGUUAGAAGAACCAAGAUGUCAUAGGGGCCAGACUGCUCAAUAUUAUUGAGGAAUGCCAACAUCAAGAAUUCUGCAGAACACAGAAAAUGUGAUUGUCUCCUCUGUUCCUUAAAGACGCUUAAGGAAUCUCAGAGCAGAGUUUCCAUGCAAUUCCCACUAAAUAACCUUGAUCCUAAGUGGAGUCAGCUAGAACACCCUGGUACUUCAACAUAAAAAAGUCACUGGAGAUGGUAUGCCACGUUAACCACAGACAUCAUUUUUUAAUUCUAAAAGAUGCUCUGGAAAAGCAGUGAAGCAAUGUAGACUCACUUCUAGAGUGUAGAUCACUGAUUAGUGACUUUAUGAUCAGGCUUCAUUCCAACCCUGGGAGAGUAUUAGAGCUAACAGGUUGUCUUCAAAUUGGACUCAGAAAAUUUAGUUUUCUCCUCCAUCUCUAACUGUGAUUCCUGAGGGGUGAUAGAGUGAAAUAACAAAGUCACUCUGUUGAUGAAAGAUAUCCAAUAGCUUCCCUUUCUUCAGGUUUUGUCUUUGACCUUGGCACUUUGUGUUUGUAAUUUGUACUUCUCCCUAGCUAACGCGGACAUGUCCUUCCAUGUCCUCCUCCUCCAGGAGUACAUGAGCAACAUAACUUAUGUUAGCAUGGAUGCCUUGGCAUUCUGUUCUGAUUCUCA